GCCAUUUCGUUUACUUUUCUCAUUUUUCCUUUGAAGAGAAAUUUCCUGCUUCUCUUGAGCGGGAAAGCGCGGGAAAGCAACUCGAAUAAAUUAAAAAUUUAAAAGACAGCCAUCUUGUUUUCUUUUAUAAUUUGUUACAGAUAAUUUCGAUGGUUUUAGACUGUUUUAAAUCAAAAUGAAGAUGUAAUUGGAACUUAUUGAGCGAACUAUUCAUAAAGACAACGUCUUAAUCAAGUAAGAUUUGUUUGAAAGGUCUUAUUAGUGUAUUUUUGCACAAAUAUUUGUCGUAAAAUAAAAUAUACUAGAAAUUACUAUCGCAAGGAAAGUGCUGCCUCACCAACAAGGGAUCAUUUAUUCAGUUAUUUAUUCAACUUCGCCAGGUAAAAUUACACGAAUGACAUGCAUACAAUACAAAUACAAUAUUAUACAAGUGACGAAUGGCGGGGACACCACAACAGUUAAAACCAAUUACUGCGUCACCCCUCGAAAACGAGGUCGGCAUUCGGCAAUGCCGACCUAUCAACCUUCCAGGUCGGCAAAUUUUUGCCGACCUUAAUUCAACCAAAGUAAGAAUUUUUUGGUGCUGAUUGCUGUUAAAAAGUCAGCGAUUAUAGAAUUCGAUUCGUAGUUCGAACUGAACACACUUCGGUGUAAGGUUUAAAAAUUGACGAGUAUUCUAUAUGUAUAAUUUAGGUAAGACUCCAAAAGAAAGGCUGCCGUGUUGCUGUAGUUUGCGUUUCCACGGAAAAAGG